CUGAGGCGUGACGACGAGGCACUACGGUGCUGAAGCAACAAAUGCCCUGCUUCCAGGAAAAGCCUCUAAGCAUCAGGUAACAUCAAAUCGUACCCCAAACCGACACAGGUGGUCAGGUAGAGAAUACCAAGGCGCUUGAGAGAACUCGGGUGAAGGAACUAGGCAAAAUGGUGCCGUAACUUCGGGAGAAGGCACGCUGACAUGUAGGUGAAGUGAUUUACUCAUGGAGCUGAAGUCAGUCGAAGAUACCAGCUGGCUGCAACUGUUUAUUAAAAACACAGCACUGUGCAAACACGAAAGUGGACGUAUACGGUGUGACGCCUGCCCGGUGCCGGAAGGUUAAUUGAUGGGGUCAGCGCAAGCGAAGCUCCUGAUCGAAGCCCCGGUAAACGGCGGCCGUAACUAUAACGGUCCUAAGGUAGCGAAAUUCCUUGUCGGGUAAGUUCCGACCUGCACGAAUGGCGUAAUGAUGGCCAGGCUGUCUCCACCCGAGACUCAGUGAAAUUGAACUCGCUGUGAAGAUGCAGUGUACCCGCGGCAAGACGGAAAGACCCCGUGAACCUUUACUAUAGCUUGACACUGAACAUUGAGCCUUGAUGUGUAGGAUAGGUGGGAGGCUUUGAAGUGUGGACGCCAGUCUGCAUGGAGCCGACCUUGAAAUACCACCCUUUAAUGUUUGAUGUUCUAACGUGGACCCGUAAUCCGGGUUGCGGACAGUGUCUGGUGGGUAGUUUGACUGGGGCGGUCUCCUCCUAAAGAGUAACGGAGGAGCACGAAGGUUGGCUAAUCCUGGUCGGACAUCAGGAGGUUAGUGCAAUGGCAUAAGCCAGCUUGACUGCGAGCGUGACGGCGCGAGCAGGUGCGAAAGCAGGUCAUAGUGAUCCGGUGGUUCUGAAUGGAAGGGCCAUCGCUCAACGGAUAAAAGGUACUCCGGGGAUAACAGGCUGAUACCGCCCAAGAGUUCAUAUCGACGGCGGUGUUUGGCACCUCGAUGUCGGCUCAUCACAUCCUGGGGCUGAAGUAGGUCCCAAGGGUAUGGCUGUUCGCCAUUUAAAGUGGUACGCGAGCUGGGUUUAGAACGUCGUGAGACAGUUCGGUCCCUAUCUGCCGUGGGCGCUGGAGAACUGAGGGGGGCUGCUCCUAGUACGAGAGGACCGGAGUGGACGCAUCACUGGUGUUCGGGUUGUCAUGCCAAUGGCACUGCCCGGUAGCUAAAUGCGGAAGAGAUAAGUGCUGAAAGCAUCUAAGCACGAAACUUGCCCCGAGAUGAGUUCUCCCUGAGACUU
rnacentral:rRNA from 1 species